rnacentral:lncRNA from 1 species
GUGCUGUAGUUUGGUGUCAUUUUGAAGGUUCGAAUGAUGCUCUGGUUAAGUAUUGAAUAAAAUUUGAAGUAUAUAUAACUGAAUUUACAAAGGCAUAAAGAAGAUAUAUGCAUAAUAUUUGUUAGAGUAUGCUGCAAAUGUCACUCAGGUUUGGUUCCACAUAAAUUGUAGUUAUCCCAACUGUUGUGUAGAGAUGAGAACCC